AGUCAUGCGCGCAGCCUGAUGCAGCAACGCCGCGUGCGGGAUGACGGCCUUCGGGUUGUAAACCGCUUUCGCCUGUGACGAAGCGUGAGUGACGGUAAUGGGUAAAGAAGCACCGGCUAACUACGUGCCAGCAGCCGCGGUGAUACGUAGGGUGCGAGCGUUGUCCGGAUUUAUUGGGCGUAAAGGGCUCGUAGGUGGUUGAUCGCGUCGGAAGUGUAAUCUUGGGGCUUAACCCUGAGCGUGCUUUCGAUACGGGUUGACUUGAGGAAGGUAGGGGAGAAUGGAAUUCCUGGUGGAGCGGUGGAAUGCGCAGAUAUCAGGAGGAACACCAGUGGCGAAGGCGGUUCUCUGGGCCUUUCCUGACGCUGAGGAGCGAAAGCGUGGGGAGCGAACAGGCUUAGAUACCCUGGUAGUCCACGCUGUAAACGGUGGGUACUAGGUGUGGGGUCCAUUCCACGGGUUCCGUGCCGUAGCUAACGCUUUAAGUACCCCGCCUGGGGAGUACGGCCGCAAGGCUAAAACUCAAUGAAAAUUUGACGGA
rnacentral:rRNA from 1 species